rnacentral:rRNA from 1 species
AAACCAACAGGGAUUGCCUUAGUAACGGCGAGUGAAGCGGCAAAAGCUCAAAUUUGAAAUCUAGCACUUUCAGUGUUCGAGUUGUAAUUUGAAGAAGGUAUCUUUGGAGUUGGCCCCUGUCUAUGUUCCUUGGAACAGGACGUCACAGAGGGUGAGAAUCCCGUGCGAUGGGGAGACCAAUUCUAUGUAAAGUUCCUUCGAAGAGUCGAGUUGUUUGGGAAUGCAGCUCUAAGUGGGUGGUAAAUUCCAUCUAAAGCUAAAUAUUGGCGAGAGACCGAUAGCGAACAAGUACAGUGAUGGAAAGAUGAAAAGAACUUUGAAAAGAGAGUGAAAAAGUACGUGAAAUUGUUGAAAGGGAAGGACUUUUGAUCAGACUUGGUGUUUAGUACUCUCUACUCCUUGUGGGUGGGGCUCUUGCUUUAUACUGGGCCAGCAUCGGUUUGGGUGGCAGGAUAAUGGCAUUGGAAUGUGGCUUCAUUCGUGGAGUGUUAUAGCCUUUGUUGAUACUGCCUAUCUAGACCGAGGACUGCGUCUUUUGACUAGGAUGCUGGCGUAAUGAUUAAAAGUCGC